AAAAAAAUCAAAUUUUUUAAAAAUUGCUUUCCAACAGCAAUUCCAAACGCCAUCUUAGUAAUGCUACCCAACUCAAUUUGGACAAGUAGAGGACACUCCUGUGUCAGCCGGCAAGGUUCAUGUACUUCAAUCGCCUCGUAUGAUUGCCAAGUUCUCAGAGGCAGAUGAUAAUGGCGAAAAACAUAUUAUACCGUGUAGAGCUAUAUUAGGUAAUGUUGAGAAAGUAGUAACAGGGUCUCAACAGUAUUAUCCUUCUGGUAUUGAGUUCUAUACCGGUGCUGAUGAUCCCAAGAAUCAUCCCAAGUGUUAUGUUGUUUGGUCGAGUGUUAUGAACAGGCAUAUUAUCCCUGAGUGUGUUGUGAGCUUCAAAUCUUCUAUUAACGUGCCAGGUAAAUUCUGGUUCCUCGUUUUCGUAAGUAUUUUUAUUGAUUGCUAUUUUUCUUUUUAAGAAGGUCAAGUGAAAGGAUCAACUUAUACAAAGUAUUCCCUCGAGAAGUUGUUUUCAAAUUUGAGGAGUUGGCUUCCUCCUGAAAAAUUUAGGGAAGUGGCCAAGCUAUAUGACGUGUAUAGGGUAAGAAGGAUAACACCUUUUAUUGUAUUAUUUUUUAGUAUUUCCUAAGUGCUGGAGGAUAAUUUUAUACUGGUUUAUUGUUUCCCAGGCUGCCUAGUUGACCAAAAAUAUUUUCCUGAGUGUUGCAGGGGAUGUUGUUCUGCUAUCUUCUAAAUGGGAGAUUCGUAGCUUGGAAUAAGGUUUUCUGGGUUUUUUUUUUUGGAUAGAUAAGUGCUACUUUCAGAAAGGCGUAUCAAAAUGAUAGAGCCACCAGCGAUGUCAUUUCACAGGAUUACCAUAGUUUUAGUGAUGAAAGAUUAUCAAGUGAAACUUCAAGAAUUACUUGAUAGUUUUUUUUGUUUUGAAAUAUAGAGCAGCAACUUUUUUUAGAUAAAUGGUAAAUAUGCUUGCAAUUUAUUUUGGAUUAUUUCAAUAUAUCACUGAUUUUUUUGGUGGUCUCUGACAAUUUCAAACCUAAUGAAUUGCGUAAGGCUGCUAUUAUGAUGUUGAAAAUGAGAUGCUGUAUUGUUAAUUGCAUACUUGUGUAUGCGAAGUAAGAUUCGAGAGGGGCAACAUCCAGUUUCUGUGAACAAGAAUAAUGUUUGUUUCAGAAUGCCUUGAUGAAUCUCUCUGUUCUAUAUUGCGUUACAAUUUUACUGAGGGCUUGGCGUGAGUUUGCAUCAAUUGCAUGCAUUAUCAUAUGCGGGUGUUGUUUUGACAUGGUGUUGGGCAAAAUUUGAUUAAUAAUUUCUAGUACAAUUAUGAUGAACAUGAAUUUAAACAUGACCACCCUUGUUUAUAUUUAUUUGAGAUCUUUAUUUUAUUGAAAGAAUAUCUUCCACUUUGGAAAUUCUAUUAGUCAUUAUAAACUACCUUUUCCAUUAUCACUUGCAUUUAUGUGCUGGUGCUUUCAAGUUAUGAUAUCUGGAAAGAAGUGAGAUAUGAAUUACUGAUUGUGUAUUUGCCAGCGAAUUACAGCUUGCUAUUAUUUUCUCUCAUUGAAUGAAGAUUCAGUUGAACUGUGAAUUUUAUUUUGUGAGACUUUUGUUAAGAAGGAUAGAUGCUUUGAAGCAAAAAGCGAUACUGCAAGUGAGUUGAAUGUUGUGAAAUUAUGUGGAUGAGUGGGCUCUCUCAUUGUUUAAAGAUAAUUUAUCUGCGCUAAGAAAUGUUGAUUUUGGUUCUGUGAUAGCCAGAAACUAAAUUGGGAGGUCUUCAUUUUAAGAGAGCAAGAUUAUCCAUGAUGCUUCAGAUAUAUCCAGUGCUGUAUUUGCUUGGCAAGUUAGCAUAGGCCUAAUGAGCUUCCAGUGCCUAGAAUUCUCAAACACGGUAAGGAGUUCUAGUUUUUUAAUUCCUUCAUGUUUGUAUAUUCUUGCUCCAGCUUAUGAAGGAAAUCUUGGAUCUUGCAUGGGGAGUUGAAAUUUUCAUAAUAGUAUACCUUGGAAUCUAGCGAUGUUUAAAGUUUCACCAGCUUGUAUUUCAGGAAUGGUAUCAGAGGCGAAUACAAUGAGAUGAACCGUCAAUUUUCUUUUUGUUGUGUUCAGAUCAUGAGAAAGGCAAGGAUGGAUUGUUCUGUUUUGCCUGUCUUUGCUUCAUCGUAGCUCUGGUAGCUAGAUUUCUGUUCCUUCAGAGCUGACUGUUGAUAAUGACUUCAACUGUAUUUGGGGAAGUCAUACUUUCAAGUUCGAUACAUGCUUCCUUUAAUAUAUGAGCAUUACUUCAGGAUG